rnacentral:rRNA from 1 species
UACGUAGGGCGCAAGCGUUGUCCGGAAUUAUUGGGCGUAAAGAGCUCGUAGGCGGACCAGUAAGUCGGUUGUGAAAGUCCAGGGCUCAACCCUGGAAAGCCGGCCGAUACUGCUGGUCUAGAAUCCGGAAGAGGCGAGUGGAAUUCCUGGUGUAGCGGUGAAAUGCGCAGAUAUCAGGAGGAACACCAAUGGCGAAGGCAGCUCGCUGGGACGGUAUUGACGCUGAGACGCGAAAGCGUGGGGAGCAAACAGG